GGACACCAUUGAAGAUAACUCCAUCAGUGGCGAGGCCAUUAAGCAUCAAGCAUGCCAUGAGCAACAAAGUUACCUUCUUCAAGUUUGCUCGACUUUGACGAAGAUAGAGCCAUAAAGGUGAAGACCCUUUACUUGCUCCAGCUCCAGUCACCACUUGCCUAAGCUUAUGGUCAUCCUUUCCGGUAUGAAGUUUAGGUUGUGCGAGAAGAAACAAGAAUAUAUUGUGAAGCGGUUUCGCUUGCAGUCGAGGACAGGUAAAUCGGAACGAUAACAAGGGUAAUCUGGGACUUCUCACAAAGUUUAAAAAUUAAAUGUCCAUUUUUCUAUUUUAAAAGAAAAUUUGUUAUUAAUAAAAUUAAAUAAAUUAACUUUUAA